rnacentral:rRNA from 1 species
UCAAGCGAACAAGGGCGCAGGGCGAAUGCCUUGGCACUGGGAGCCGAUGAAAGACGUGAUAAGCUGCGAUAAGCUUCGGGGAGCUGCAAAUAAGCAUUGAUCCGGAGAUUUCUGAAUGAGGAAACUCACCUGGGUUCAUACUCAGGUACGUUGUACUGAAAUUCAAAAUAGGUACAUCGGGGGAACCGCCUGAACUGAAACAUCUAAGUAGGGCGAGGAAGAGACAUCAAACGAGAUUCCGUAAGUAGUGGCGAGCGAACGCGGAAGAGGGCAAACCGGGAGUAGAAAUACUUCCGGGGUACGGAGCGCAUUUAAGACUUGAGUUGUUAACCGAACGGCAUGGGAAGGCCGGUCAGAGAGUGUGAGAACCACGUAGGUGAAAACGACAAGAGCUGAGCGAUUUCCAGAGUACGGCCAGACACGUGAAACCUGGUCGGAAGAUGGGGGGACCACCCUCCAACCCUAAAUACUACCCAGUGACCGAUAGCGUAUAGUACUGUGAAGGAAAGGUGAAAAGCACCCCGGGAGGGGAGUGAAAAAGAACCUGAAACCCUGUGCCUACAAGCACCUAGAGCGCGUCAAUGCGUGAUAGGGUACUUUUUGUAGAACGGUCCGGCGAGCGAUUGUAUGCAGCAAGGUUAAGGACUUAAGGUCUGGAGCCGAAGCGAAAGCGAGUUUGAAAAGGGCGUUAAGUUGCAUAUAAUGGGCCCGAAACCGGGUGACCUACCCAUGGUCAGGUUGAAGUGGAAGUAAAAUUCCAUGGAGGACCGAACCGACCUCCGUUGAAAAGGCGGCGGAUGAACUGUGGGUAGCGGAGAAAUUCCAAUCGAACCCGGAGAUAGCUGGUUCUCCCCGAAAUAGUUUUAGGACUAGCCUCAAGUUAGAUACCUGGAGGUAAAGCACUGAAUAGCCUAGCGGCCGAGAGGUUAGCGAAGCUUAUCAAACUCAGAAUGCCAGAGUAUUGAUGCUUGGGAGUCAGACAGUGUCAGAUAAAUGUCAUUGUCAAAAGGGAAACAGCCCAGAUCUACAGCUAAGGUCCCAAAGUCAGGUUAAGUGGAAAACGAUGUGAAGAUACGCAGACAACCAGGAUGUUGGCUCAGAAGCAGCCACUCAUUCAAAGAGUGCGUAAUAGCUCACUGGUCGAGCGUCUUUGCGCGGAGAAUUUAACGGGGCUAAACCUGACACCGAAGCUUAGGCAAUCCAGUAAUGGAUUGGGUAGGGGAGCGUUGUAUACGCGGAGAAACAGUAGCGUAAGCGGCUGUGGAGUGUAUAGAAGUGAGAAUGCCGGAAUGAGUAGCGCGAAUGCAGUGAGAAUCUGCAUGGCCGAAAGCCUCAGGUUUUUGGAGGAAGGUUCGUCCGCUCCAAGUUAGUCGGGAGCUAAGGUGAGGCCGGAAGGCGUAGCCGAUGCACAGACGGUAGAGAUUCCGUCACCACCAAAAGAGUUAAGCACAGGGACACAUUUGAAGUCUCAGAGCCGGGUGUUGGUUCCGGUAGAGAUCGAGGGAAGUUAGUACCGAAGUCUGGGAUGGAAGAUGGCGAGAAAAGCUGUGUGUAUUUCUGAGGUGCCCGUACCGCAAACCGACACAGGUAGGUAGGAAGAAGAUUCUAAGGCCAACGGGAGAAGGGUUGUUAAGGAACUCGGCAAAUUGACCCCGUAACUUCGGGAGAAGGGGUGCUCCAGAGAUGGAGCCGCAGAGAAUCGGCCCAAGCAACUGUUUACCAAAAACACAGGUUUGUGCUAAAUCGAAAGAUGACGUAUACGAGCUGACGCCUGCCCGGUGCUGGAAGGUUAAGAGGAGAUGUGCAAGCAUUGAAUCGAAGCCCCAGUGAACGGCGGCCGUAACUAUAACGGUCCUAAGGUAGCGAAAUUCCUUGUCAGGUAAGUUCUGACCCGCAUGAAAGGCGUAAUGAUUUGGGCACUGUCUCAACAGCCCGCCCGGCGAAAUUGUAGUACCGGUGAAGAUGCCGGUUACC